AGGGUGUAAACGCUGCAGACUUGGUGUUGGAAGUCCUUUGGGGGCAUUCAGUGCCGGAGAGAAGUUGUUAAGUCUGCUACUUGGGGAGUACGUCCGCAAGGAUGAAACUUAAAGGAAUUGGCGGGGGGAGCACCGGCAACGGGAGGAGCGUGCGGUUUAAUUGGAUUCAACACCGUAAAACUCACCAGGGAAGACUGUUACAUGAAAGCCGAGAUGAAGACUCUGCUAGAUUUUCAGAGAGGAGGUGCAUGGCGUCAGUGACU
rnacentral:rRNA from 1 species